GACGAACGCUGGCGGCGUGCUUAACACAUGCAAGUCGAACGCUGAAGCACCAGCUUGCUGGUGUGGAUGAGUGGCGAACGGGUGAGUAAUACGUGAGUAACCUGCCCUUGACUCUGGGAUAAGCCCGGGAAACUGGGUCUAAUACUGGAUGCUACAUGUCACCGCAUGGUGGUGUGUGGAAAGGGUUUACUGGUCUUGGAUGGGCUCACGGCCUAUCAGCUUGUUGGUGAGGUAAUGGCUCACCAAGGCGACGACGGGUAGCCGGCCUGAGAGGGUGACCGGCCACACUGGGACUGAGACACGGCCCAGACUCCUACGGGAGGCAGCAGUGGGGAAUAUUGCACAAUGGGCGAAAGCCUGAUGCAGCGACGCCGCGUGAGGGAUGACGUCCUUCGGGUUGUAAACCUCUUUCAGCAGGGAAGAAGCCACAAGUGACGGUACCUGCAGAAGAAGCGCCGGCUAACUACGUGCCAGCAGCCGCGGUAA
rnacentral:rRNA from 1 species